rnacentral:lncRNA from 1 species
UCCGUGACAGCCCUUCUCCAGUCAUGCACACUCGCCCUCUCGUGCUGGAAGUUAGGGGCAGGGGUAGAACCGUCAUUUCCUCCCACAUGACUUUCAUCCCUUUCCCUUUGCCUUUGUUCAUUGAGGUUCAUUGAGGUCCUGUUCCAGUCAUGCACAGUGGGCAUUGAGGUCCGUUUCUCAUGAUGAAAGUUAGAUGUAGGGGUAGGGGUAGAAUCGUCAUUUUCACCCAUGGGGAUUUCUUGCCUCUGCCUUUGUUCAUUGAGGUUCAUUGAGGUCCUGUUCCAGUCAUGCACAGUUGGCAUCGAGGUCCGUUUCUCAUGAUGGAAGUCAGGUGUAAGGGUAGGGGUAGAAUUGUCAUUUUCUCCCAUGGGACUUUCUUGCCUUUGCCUUUGUUCGUUGAGGUUCACUGAGGUCCUGUUCCAGUCAUGCACAUGCACAGUUGGCAUCGAGGCUCGGUUCUCGUGAUGUUGGAAGUUAUUAGGGGCAGGGGAUAGGGUAGGGGUAGAAUCGUCAUUUCCUACCAAGGGACUCUCUUGGCUUUUUUC